rnacentral:rRNA from 1 species
CCUACGGGGGGCAGCAGUGGGGAAUAUUGGGCAAUGGGCGCAAGCCUGACCCAGCAACGCCGCGUGAAGGAAGAAGGCUUUCGGGUUGUAAACUUCUUUUAAGAGGGAAGAGCAGAAGACGGUACCUCUUGAAUAAGCCACGGCUAACUACGUGCCAGCAGCCGCGGUAAUACGUAGGUGGCAAGCGUUGUCCGGAUUUACUGGGUGUAAAGGGAGCGUAGGCGGGGAUGCAAGUUGGGUGUUAAAUCUACCGGCUAAACUGGGAGUCGCACUCAAAACUGCAGCUAUUGAGUGAAGUAGAGGCAGGCGGAAUUCCUAGUGUAGCGGUGAAAUGCGUAGAUAUUAGGAGGAACACCAGUGGCGAAGGCGGCCUGCUGGGCUUUUACUGACGCUGAGGCUCGAAAGUGUGGGGAGCAAACAGGAUUAGAUACCCGAGUAGUC